CAGUUGUGUUUGAUGAUGGAGACAUCUAAAAGAGGCUGGAUCGGGGUUCUCAAGGACCAGACUUGUGCAUCCCUGUUGAAUAGCCUCGUAAAUACACUUCAUACAUUUUUUUAAGCGCUUCUCUUUUCUUCUUUUGCAAUGUUCUCC